UCGCACCUACCGAUUGAAUGGUUCGGUGAAGAUCUCGGACUACGAUAUUUAUUCUUUAUUGAGUUUAUAUUGUGGGAAGUUAUCUAAACCUCAUCAUUUAGAGGAAGGUG
rnacentral:rRNA from 1 species